rnacentral:lncRNA from 1 species
GAAGUGAGACUUGGACACUUGACAGACCUUUCCCCUUCAUCCUUUCACAGACGGGAAUUUGAUGUUUGACCAAGUGCCCAUGGUGGAGAUUGACGGGAUGAAGCUGGCACAGACCAGAGCCAUUCUCAACUACAUCGCCACCAAAUAUGACCUCUAUGGGAAGGACAUGAAGGAGAGAGCCCUGAUUGACAUGUAUUCAGAGGGUAUUUUAGAUCUGACUGAAAUGAUUAUCCAAUUGGUAAUAUGUCCCCCAGACCAAAGAGAAGCCAAGACCGCCUUGGCAAAAGACAGGACCAAAAACCGGUACUUGCCUGCCUUUGAAAAGGUAAGUAGGCUCCAUGAAGUCUGGGGACACUGAGUCCCCAGGACAAGAGAAAGGCAGAGGCUGGGAGACAAAGGUUCUGCAACACUGGCCUUCACUUCCAUGAGCCUGCUGUGCAGCUCCCUGCCCCACAGGGCACUGUAACAGUGGCCUGGGAAGGAGCACUGCAUGCUCAUGCCAAUCUAGCAUCCAGCAUUCAGCAGGGUUCAUGGCCACACCCAGCACUGGGCCUGUGGAAGGCUGAGCCACCCCAGAGAAGGACCGAGAUCCUACAGAAUGCAGUGGGCUUCCCUUCUAGAAAAAACUGCAGAAAACAACAGAUUGGGGAAAACUUUCUGUCAGGUUACAGAGGGAGGCCUGAGAGCAGCUGCCUGACAGGAGAAUUUGAUAGCACUUCAAAGACAGAGG